rnacentral:tRNA from 2 species
GCCCGCUUAGCUUAGAGGUU